rnacentral:misc_RNA from 1 species
UUAAGUUCAGCGGGUAGUCCUACCUGAUUUGAGGUCUAGCAUAAAGUGGUUGCCCGAGGGCAGGGUUGUGAGCAGGCUCAGAAGACCGGAUGAGACGAAACUUAUUACGUCAAGCCAUAGGCCAUCGAUCCCACUAAGGUCUUUAAGGCGAGCCGUGUGACCGGCAAACGCCCAACUCCAAGUCCACCGCCGGGUCAAGA